UACGUAGGGGGCAAGCGUUGUCCGGAAUUAUUGGGCGUAAAGCGCGCGCAGGCGGUCGAUUAAGUCUGGUGUUUAAUCCUGGGGCUCAACUCCGGGUCGCACUGGAAACUGGUAGACUUGAGUGCAGAAGAGGAGAGUGGAAUUCCACGUGUAGCGGUGAAAUGCGUAGAGAUGUGGAGGAACACCAGUGGCGAAGGCGACUCUCUGGGCUGUAACUGACGCUGAGGCGCGAAAGCGUGGGGAGCAAACAGG
rnacentral:rRNA from 1 species